CUGGGCUGGGCUGGGCUGGGCUGGGCUGGGUUGGGCUGGCCUGGGGGUGUCCCUCACUGUCU
rnacentral:miRNA from 1 species